UGGGGAAUAUUGCACAAUGGGCGCAAGCCUGAUGCAGCCAUGCCGCGUGUAUGAAGAAGGCCUUCGGGUUGUAAAGUACUUUCAGCGGGGAGGAAGGGAGUAAAGUUAAUACCUUUGCUCAUUGACGUUACCCGCAGAAGAAGCACCGGCUAACUACGUGCCAGCAGCCGCGGUAAUACGGAGGGUGCAAGCGUUAAUCGGAAUUACUGGGCGUAAAGCGCACGCAGGCGGUUUGUUAAGUCAGAUGUGAAAUCCUCGGGCUCAACCUGGGAACUGCAUCUGAUACUGGCAAGCUUGAGUCUCGUAGAGGGGGGUAGAAUUCCAGGUGUAGCGGUGAAAUGCGUAGAGAUAUGGGGGAAUACCGGUGGCGAAGGCGGCGCCCUGGACGAAGACAGACGCUCAGGUGCGAAAGCGUGGGGAGCAAACAGG
rnacentral:rRNA from 1 species